UACGUAGGGGGCGAGCGUUGUCCGGAUUUAUUGGGCGUAAAGAGCGUGUAGGCGGCCAGGUAGGUCUGCUGUGAAAACUCGAGGCUCAACCUCGAGACGUCGGCGGAAACCAUCUGGCUAGAGUCCGGAAGAGGAGAGUAGAAUUCCUGGUGUAGCGGUGAAAUGCGCAGAUAUCAGGAAGAACACCCGUGGCGAAGGCGGCUCUCUGGGACGGUACUGACGCUGAGACGCGAAAGCGUGGGGAGCGAACAGG
rnacentral:rRNA from 1 species